AUGACAUGAAAUCAGUGUUUGGAUAUAUGAUUUCACAUUGAUUUCAACUCAUGA
rnacentral:pre_miRNA from 1 species